rnacentral:rRNA from 1 species
GAGUUUGAUCCUGGCUCAGGACGAACGCUGGCGGCGCGCCUAACACAUGCAAGUCGAACGGGACUAUUUUGGGAGAAGUUUUCGGAUGGAUCUCGGGAUAGUUUAGUGGCGGACGGGUGAGUAACACGUGAGCAACCUGCCUUCGAGAGGGGAAUAACGGCUGGAAACGGUCGCUAAUACCGCAUAACAUACUGGAGGGACAUCCCUUUGGUAUCAAAGAUUAUAUCGCUCGGAGAUGGGCUCGCGUCCGAUUAGGUAGUUGGUGAGGUAACGGCUCACCAAGCCGACGAUCGGUAGCCGGACUGAGAGGUCGAACGGCCACAUUGGGACUGAGACACGGCCCAGACUCCUACGGGAGGCAGCAGUGGGGGAUAUUGCACAAUGGGGGAAACCCUGAUGCAGCGACGCCGCGUGUGGGAAGACGGUCC